rnacentral:rRNA from 1 species
UACGAGGGGGGCAAGCGUUGUUCGGAAUUAUUGGGCGUAAAGGGCGCGUAGGCGGUGCGGUAAGUCACCUGUGAAAACUCUGGGCUCAACUCAGAGCCUGCAGGCGAAACUGCCGUGCUUGAGUGUGGGAGAGGUGCGUGGAAUUCCCGGUGUAGCGGUGAAAUGCGUAGAUAUCAGGAAGAACACCCGUGGCGAAGGCGGCUCUCUGGGACGGUACUGACGCUGAGACGCGAAAGCGUGGGGAGCGAACAGG